AUUAGUGCUACCGCAGAAAAGGGCCUUUUUGAGUCUAUUCGACGUCGAUUCACUUAAUUGUGUGUCACGUUCGAGAGCCACUUUCACUUUGGAGAAAUCAGUGUGCUCAUAACAGGCUUAUGCCUGUAUAUAACUGCAUGGGAUGAUGAAAUUGGGCCUUUGACUCGUUUCGUUGGUUUUCGAUUGCAAAGGUUAUGAUUAAUCGGGACAGACGGGGGCAUUCGUAUUGCGUCGAUAGAAGUGAAAUUCGGUGACCGACGUAAGACGAACAAUCGCGAAAGCAUUUGCCAAGAAUGUUUUCAUUAAUCAAGAACGAAAGUUAGAGUAUCGAAGACGAUUAGAUACCGUCCUAGUUCUAACUGUAAACGAUGCCAACCAGGGUUUUGUCAUAGCUCAUAUGCUUGACGAGCACCCUCCGGGAAACCUGAGUAAUCGGGUUCCGGGGGGAGUAUGGUUGCAGAAUCGAAACUUAAAGGAAUUGACGGAAGGGCACACCAGGAGUGGAGCCUGCGGCUUAAUUUGACUCAACGCACGAUAGCCGACUCGGUCCGGACACUUGAAGGAUUGACAGACUGAAAGCUCUUUCUUGAUUCAGUGGGUAGCGGUGCAUGGCCGUUCGUUGUUGGUGAAGUGAUUUGUCUGGUUUAUUCCGAUAACGAACGAGACUCUGGCCUAUUAACUAGCGUAACGUUUUUUACGUUAUUAAUUGGCUUCUUAAAGGGACAAGUGCUUUCGAAGCACGCGAAAAAGAGCAAUAACAGGUCUGUGAUGCCCUUCGAUGUUCGAGGCUGCACGCGCGCUACAAUGGAGAGCCUAGAGCGUACCAUGCGUUUUGAUAAAAAUGCAGAACCGUGAGAGGCCUCCGUUACUGGGAUCGGAGCUUGAAAUUAUUCCUCGUCAACGAGGAAUUUCUAGUAAGCACGAGUCAUAUCUCG
rnacentral:rRNA from 1 species